rnacentral:lncRNA from 1 species
AUGAAGUAUGACACGGCCAAUUCACUGCUGCAAUUCUAAACGCCACCACCGUUCGAUCUUCCAAUCUCUGCUACAUGGACCGUGGAAGAACCGGACUACGCAAUCGCAAUGUACUACCAUGUAUAUACGCAUUAUUCCUCCCUGCUCGCUGCCAUCAUUUGUUAGAUUUUGUUGUCGGAAUCACCGAAACGAGAGGCAGAUGUUGCUGAUUCCAAACGCUACCUAAUCAUCUAUUGGAAAUAAAGUUUUGCUAGAUUUCGCCGGCACGUCUCCCUUGCUUUUAUAUGGGAAUAAUCACCUGCAGCAACAGCAGUUCCCUCUGCUUUGGAGACAGGUGCUGCUCCCACUGGUCCACC